UUACUCAAGUUAUAGGAGGACUCCUCUAGUUACAUGCAUUAACUGUUUGUUCUAUUAACAAGGAAUAGAGGUUAGGGUGCUUUGCAAAAAAACUAAGGAGGUUUUAAUGGAAGAAAGCAAUGUUCAGGCCAACUGUUCAAUCUGUUCAAAGCUCACAAAGAUCCUAGACAAAAUCCAAUUGCUCACAAGAUUAUUUUGUACUCUUUUGUUUUAUUUGUGAAUAUCACUAUCUACUUUGAAACAGAAUUAGUGUUAAUUUUGAUAUUUACUAGCUUCUCAUGUAAUUAAAUAUUAAUAUUACUUCAAUGUCAGAAUUCUAUUA